AGACCCGAAACCCGGUGAUCUAGCCAUGGGCAGGUUGAAGGUUGGGUAACACUAACUGGAGGACCGAACCGACUAAUGUUGAAAAAUUAGCGGAUGACCUGUGGCUGGGGGUGAAAGGCCAAUCAAACCGGGAGAUAGCUGGUUCUCCCCGAAAGCUAUUUAGGUAGCGCCUCGUGAAUUCAUCUCCGGGGGUAGAGCACUGUUUCGGCUAGGGGGCCAUCCCGGCUUACCAACCCGAUGCAAACUGCGAAUACCGGAGAAUGUUAUCACGGGAGACACACGGCGGGUGCUAACGUCCGUCGUGAAGAGGGAAACAACCCAGACCGCCAGCUAAGGUCCCAAAGUCAUGGUUAAGUGGGAAACGAUGUGGGAAGGCCCAGACAGCCAGGAUGUUGGCUUAGAAGCAGCCAUCAUUUAAAGAAAGCGUAAUAGCUCACUGGUCGAGUCGGCCUGCGCGGAAGAUGUAACGGGGCUAAACCAUGCACCGAAGCUGCGGCAGCGACGCUUAUGCGUUGUUGGGUAGGGGAGCGUUCUGUAAGCCUGUGAAGGUGGCCUGUGAGGGUUGCUGGAGGUAUCAGAAGUGCGAAUGCUGACAUAAGUAACGAUAAAGCGGGUGAAAAGCCCGCUCGCCGGAAGACCAAGGGUUCCUGUCCAACGUUAAUCGGGGCAGGGUGAGUCGACCCCUAAGGCGAGGCCGAAAGGCGUAGUCGAUGGGAAACGGGUUAAUAUUCCCGUACUUGGUGUUACUGCGAAGGGGGGACGGAGAAGGCUAUGUUGGCCGGGCGACGGUUGUCCCGGUUUAAGCGUGUAGGUGUGUGUUCCAGGUAAAUCCGGUUCACUUUAACACUGAGGCGUGAUGACGAGGCACUACGGUGCUGAAGUAACAAAUGCCCUGCUUCCAGGAAAAGCCUCUAAGCAUCAGGUAACAUCAAAUCGUACCCCAAACCGACACAGGUGGUCAGGUAGAGAAUACCAAGGCGCUUGAGAGAACUCGGGUGAAGGAACUAGGCAAAAUGGUGCCGUAACUUCGGGAGAAGGCACGCUGACACGUAGGUGAAGUGAUUUACUCACGGAGCUGAAGUCAGUCGAAGAUACCAGCUGGCUGCAACUGUUUAUUAAAAACACAGCACUGUGCAAACACGAAAGUGGACGUAUACGGUGUGACGCCUGCCCGGUGCCGGAAGGUUAAUUGAUGGGGUCAGCGCAAGCGAAGCUCCUGAUCGAAGCCCCGGUAAACGGCGGCCGUAACUAUAACGGUCCUAAGGUAGCGAAAUUCCUUGUCGGGUAAGUUCCGACCUGCACGAAUGGCGUAAUGAUGGCCAGGCUGUCUCCACCCGAGACUCAGUGAAAUUGAACUCGCUGUGAAGAUGCAGUGUACCCGCGGCAAGACGGAAAGACCCCGUGAACCUUUACUAUAGCUUGACACUGAACAUUGAGCCUUGAUGUGUAG
rnacentral:rRNA from 1 species